rnacentral:rRNA from 1 species
UACGAAGGGGGCUAGCGUUGCUCGGAAUUACUGGGCGUAAAGGGUGCGUAGGCGGACAUUUAAGUCAGAGGUGAAAUCCCGGAGCUUAACUUCGGAACUGCCUUUGAUACUGGGUGUCUUGAGUGUGAGAGAGGUAUGUGGAACUCCGAGUGUAGAGGUGAAAUUCGUAGAUAUUCGGAAGAACACCAGUGGCGAAGGCGACAUACUGGCUCAUUACUGACGCUGAGGCUCGAAAGCGUGGGGAGCAAACAGG